rnacentral:rRNA from 1 species
UACGUAUGGUGCAAGCGUUAUCCGGAUUUACUGGGUGUAAAGGGAGCGCAGGCGGCACGGCAAGCCUGAUGUGAAAGCCCGCGGCCCAACCGCGGGACUGCAUUGGGAACUACCGGGCUGGAGUGCCGGAGAGGUAGGCGGAAUUCCUAGUGUAGCGGUGAAAUGCGUAGAUAUUAGGAGGAACACCAGUGGCGAAGGCGGCCUACUGGACGGUGACUGACGCUGAGGCUCGAAAGCGUGGGGGGCAAACAGG